rnacentral:rRNA from 1 species
UACGGAGGGUGCAAACGUUGCUCGGAAUCAUUGGGCGUAAAAGCGCACGUAGGCGGUUCGUUAUGUCGGAUGUGAAAAUCCCCUCGGCUCAACCGAGGAAGGGGCAUCCGAAACUGGCGUGCUUUGAGUAUGGAAGAGGGGUCUCGGAAAUUCCCCGGUGUAGAGGUGAAAAUUCGUAGAUAUCGGGAGGAACACCAGUGGCGAAGGCGGGAGACCUGGGGCCCAAUACUGACGCUGAGGUGCGAAAAGCGUGGGGGAGCAAAACAGGG